AUACGGAGGGUGCAAGCGUUAUCCGGAAUCAUUGGGUUUAAAGGGUCCGUAGGCGGGCAAUUAAGUCAGAGGUGAAAUCCCACAGCUCAACUGUGGAACUGCCUUUGAUACUGGUUGUCUUGAGUUAUAGUGAAGUAGAUAGAAUAUGUAGUGUAGCGGUGAAAUGCAUAGAUAUUACAUAGAAUACCGAUUGCGAAGGCAGUCUACUAACUGUAUACUGACGCUAAUGGACGAAAGCGUGGGGAGCGAACAGGAUUAGAAACCCCAGUAGUCC
rnacentral:rRNA from 1 species